rnacentral:rRNA from 1 species
AGAGUUUGAUCAUGGCUCAGAUUGAACGCUGGCGGCAGGCCUAACACAUGCAAGUCGAACGGUAACAGGAAGAAGCUUGCUUCUUUGCUGACGAGUGGCGGACGGGUGAGUAAUGUCUGGGAAACUGCCUGAUGGAGGGGGAUAACUACUGGAAACGGUAGCUAAUACCGCAUAACGUCGCAAGACCAAAGAGGGGGACCUUCGGGCCUCUUGCCAUCGGAUGUGCCCAGAUGGGAUUAGCUAGUAGGUGGGGUAACGGCUCACCUAGGCGACGAUCCCUAGCUGGUCUGAGAGGAUGACCAGCCACACUGGAACUGAGACACGGUCCAGACUCCUACGGGAGGCAGCAGUGGGGAAUAUUGCACAAUGGGCGCAAGCCUGAUGCAGCCAUGCCGCGUGUAUGAAGAAGGCCUUCGGGUUGUAAAGUACUUUCAGCGGGGAGGAAGGGAGUAAAGUUAAUACCUUUGCUCAUUGACGUUACCCGCAGAAGAAGCACCGGCUAACUCCGUGCCAGCGGCCGCGGUAAUACGGAGGGUGCAAGCGUUAAUCGGAAUUACUGGGCGUAAAGCGCACGCAGGCGGUUUGUUAAGUCAGAUGUGAAAUCCCCGGGCUCAACCUGGGAACUGCAUCUGAUACUGGCAAGCUUGAGUCUCGUAGAGGGGGGUAGAAUUCCAGGUGUAGCGGUGAAAUGCGUAGAGAUCUGGAGGAAUACCGGUGGCGAAGGCGGCCCCCUGGACGAAGACUGACGCUCAGGUGCGAAAGCGUGGGGAGCAAACAGGAUUAGAUACCCUGGUAGUCCACGCCGUAAACGAUGUCGACUUGGAGGUUGUGCCCUUGAGGCGUGGCUUCCGGAGCUAACGCGUUAAGUCGACCGCCUGGGGAGUACGGCCGCAAGGUUAAAACUCAAAUGAAUUGACGGGGGCCCGCACAAGCGGUGGAGCAUGUGGUUUAAUUCGAUGCAACGCGAAGAACCUUACCUGGUCUUGACAUCCACGGAAGUUUUCAGAGAUGAGAAUGUGCCUUCGGGAACCGUGAGACAGGUGCUGCAUGGCUGUCGUCAGCUCGUGUUGUGAAAUGUUGGGUUAAGUCCCGCAACGAGCGCAACCCUUAUCCUUUGUUGCCAGCGGUCCGGCCGGGAACUCAAAGGAGACUGCCAGUGAUAAACUGGAGGAAGGUGGGGAUGACGUCAAGUCAUCAUGGCCCUUACGACCAGGGCUACACACGUGCUACAAUGGCGCAUACAAAGAGAAGCGACCUCGCGAGAGCAAGCGGACCUCAUAAAGUGCGUCGUAGUCCGGAUUGGAGUCUGCAACUCGACUCCAUGAAGUCGGAAUCGCUAGUAAUCGUGGAUCAGAAUGCCACGGUGAAUACGUUCCCGGGCCUUGUACACACCGCCCGUCACACCAUGGGAGUGGGUUGCAAAAGAAGUAGGUAGCUUAACCUUCGGGAGGGCGCUUACCACUUUGUGAUUCAUGACUGGGGUGAAGUCGGAACAAGGUA